CAGCUUUCCAACCUUGAAAUGCUAGAUGUUGCUGGCAAUUCACUGAAAGGGAUCGUCUCCGAACUUCACUUCUCAAAUCUCACCUCCUUAACUGAAUUGCAUAUGGAAGGGAAUUCCUUAGUUUUUGAUGUUGACCCCACAUGGGCACCUCCAUUCCAACUUGUAUGGAUUGGAUUGUCAUCCUGCAAACUGGGACCCAACUUUCCACAAUGGCUCAAAACGCAGAUGAAUAUUGAGUUCUUAAUGAUGUCAAAUGCAAGCAUCUCAGAUAGGAUCCCUGCUUGGUUUGAAAAUAUUUCUUCAAGUAUCAUCCGUUUGGAUCUAUCUCACAAUCAGAUUACCAAAAAAUUGCCCAAGUUGAGAAAAUUACGUUUCGGUGAUCUUUAUCGUCAUAGGUCCAUAUAUUUGGAUUCCAACAAAUUUGAUGGUCCUUUAACACCUUUUCCUUCUGAUACAGUUGAUUUAGAUAUCUCCGACAACUUGCUUUGUGGCCAAGUCCCCAAAAAAAUUGGAACAAUGAUGCCACAUUUGGAAUCUUUUGUUAUCUCCACCAACCAUUUGAGAGGGACCAUUCCGGUUUCUGUUUGUGAGUUAAAGAAUUUAGCUAUUCUGGAUCUCUCAGCAAAUCAUCUAUCAGGAAGACUUCCUAGAUGUUGGAAAAAGUUGCAGGAUUUGAAAGUGGUAGAUUUGGCAAAUAACAAUCUCAGUGGCCAUAUUCCAUUUUCUUUCGGCUUUAUGCAGCAGCUCUUGUCCUUGCAUCUUCAAAACAAUAGUUUCCAAGGAAAAUUUCCUAGGUCAUUAAGUAAGCUCAAAUGUUUGAGGACUGUUGAUCUCAGUUUGAACGCUUUUGCUGGUUUUAUUCCUCAAUGGCUUGGUGAAAACCUAUCUUCGUUGAGAGUAUUCGAUGUUCAUUCCAAUAAGUUUGAUGGUGAGAUUCCUCCACAACUCUGCAGCCUUGCUUCUCUUCGCAUUCUAAACCUGGCAAACAACAACAUGAUUGGAAAUAUUCCUAAUUGUUUUGACAAUUUUACUGGGAUGAUUGUGGAUGAGAUAGGAGAUUAUCGGAACUAUCAUUUCCUUGCAUAUAGUUCCUACAUUCCUGGAUCUCAAUCUGUAGCUUACGAUGAGAAUCUUUUGGCUUAUAUAAAAGGAAUGGAACUUGAAUAUACCAGUUCGCUUCAGUAUCUCUUUUCCAUUGAUCUUUCAGGAAAUAAUCUUGUGGGAGAGAUUCCAAAGGGGAUAAUGAGUCUUUUAAAGUUACAAAACUUGAAUUUGUCUGGAAAUAAUUUGACAGGGCAUAUACCAUUGAACAUUGGUAACUUGAAAUUGCUAGAAUCUCUUGAUUUGUCCAGAAAUGAACUUUGUGGCUCUAUUCCAACCAGCAUUUCUGAUUUAAACUUCUUAAGUCACUUGAACUUGUCAUUCAAUAAUUUAUCUGGCCGCAUUCCUUUGGGGAAUCAACUCCAAACUUUGGAUGAUAAAUCCAUCUACAUUGGCAACAAUGGACUCUGCGGACAUCCACUGAAAAGUUGCCCAAAAAAUCAACUGCUUCAAGGACAUGACCAUGCUGAGAGAAUAGAAUCUGAGAUUGACAUGCUUUGGUUUUACCAAGGCUUAGGAAUGGGUUCCGCAGUUGGAUUUUGGGGAGUUUGUAGCAUUUUGUAUUUCAAAGUUUCUUGGAGAAAUGCCUACUUCCAAUCAAUCGACAGAAUCUACAAAAAGCUUGAGGGAAUAGUUACAGAGAAAGUUCCAUAGAGACAAAUUUGGAGUGCAAGCAUGAGAAGGACGUUGUAAACAAGAUGGCAAAAAUUGAACAAAAGCCCAAAUGAAGCUCAACUCAAAUUCAUAGGAAGGAAGGUUGUGCUAUGAUUUCAGAUGAAAAUUUCUGAAUUUAGAUGAAUAUUCUCUUUAUCUAUCUCUGCAAUAUGUGGCUAAAUGUAUAUAUUAAUUUGCUAGCUUGUACCUAUUCUGUUAAUGUAAGUUAUGCUUGAGACACUAAAUACAUUAUCAAAAGUUUACAGCAGAUUUCUGAUCUA
rnacentral:misc_RNA from 1 species